AAAUAUACUGAUUUACCAAUCUAUCACAAUGUGUUUUACAAUUUAGCCAACCGUGGUCAAAAUGAGUAAGAUCCUGUGUUUUGCGCUCUUGUUCGUGUAUUGUUCGUGUAGCAAAUCAAAAAAUGACUUGAGGAUACCUAGUGUUGCCGAUCUGAAUAAUUCAGAUGGAUCUGUAGGAAACAUCGAUAUCGGACCAUUUGGUGGUAUAGGAAAUCUCGGCUACAGUGGUCUUGGAUGUAA